rnacentral:rRNA from 1 species
GAUGAACGCUGACAGAAUGCUUAACACAUGCAAGUCCACUUGAAUUUGGGUUUUUAACUUAGGUUUGGGUGGCGGACGGGUGAGUAACGCGUAAAGAACUUGCCUCACAGCUAGGGACAACAUUUGGAAACGAAUGCUAAUACCUAAUAUUAUGAUAAUAGGGCAUCCUAUAAUUAUGAAAGCUAUAAGCGCUGUGAGAGAGCUUUGCGUCCCAUUAGCUAGUUGGAGAGGUAACGGCUCACCAAGGCGAUGAUGGGUAGCCGGCCUGAGAGGGUGAUCGGCCACAAGGGGACUGAGACACGGCCCUUACUCCUACGGGAGGCAGCAGUGGGAAAUAUUGGACAAUGGACCGAGAGUCUGAUCCAGCAAUUCUGUGUGCACGAUGAAGUUUUUCGGAAUGUAAAGUGCUUUCAGUUGGGAAGAAACAAAUGACGGUACCAACAGAAGAAGUGACGGCUAAAUACGUG